CUUUUCUGUCUGUUCUGAAGCUAGGACUGAGGGACUCCUUCAGAGGCUGAGAAGCAAUUGCUCAGGCCACGGCUCGGUUUUCUCCCAUCGUCUCUGAUCCCUUGAUGGACGGUAUCCUUCCUUCAGGCUGAUUCUUACCUGAUACUUGUGGGACUGAGGAUUCUGUGGGAGAGUGUGGUGAGUUGUGGAUGAAAAAAUGCAAGACAGAAUGAGCAAUGUCAAGCUUGGAGGGUCCUGUGCAGCCACAGAAGAUGAGACCAAGAAGGGACAAGUGAUAACAGGGACGGGGCAGGAGAAAAAGGAAGAGGAGAGAGAGAGCCCGAGUUCAGCACUGAUCUCGGAUUCCUGCUUCGACAGCUCUUCCAACUUCUGGAAGAUUCCAUCAUGUUUCCUGCUUUUCUGCUUCCUUCCUUCAUGGAGCCUCCCAAAGCAGAAGGAAAAAGGGACUGUGGGAAAGACAGCAGUGAGGACCAGAGGGGGUGCAGCUGCACAGAAAGGGACCGUCAGCUGGGCUAGUUCCUUCAGCGGAUGUCUUGAAAGCUUUCAGUCAAGCAAGAAAGCUCCGACACUGGAGUGCCGAGGAUGGAGCUGGGUCUGUCUUUACCUCGGCUUUUCUCUCUGUGAAGUGUUGACAGACUGAGUGUUGACGGGCAGCUCCAGGAGCCGGCAUACUACUGCCUCUGGUUUGCCUGGUGAUGGAAGCACUUUGUAAAACAUGGUGGUCCUUGGUGUGUGUGACUAGGGAGGCUGUGUGGAAAUGAAGCGUGCCGAGGCUCGCUGCCUCCUCAGGCCUGGAGCCGAGACUCUUUGUGGCUUGUCCUUUCAGAUACACUAAUUUUUGUUGUUUCAGUUUAAAUGUUACCUGUGUGUCCCUGCAAAUCCAUAUUCAGACACUUGAUUCAUAGCUAAUUUUGGAUGGUCUUAAAAGGUGUCUGUGUCUCUGUCUGUCUGUCUUCCCUUCAUUUCUUCCUCUCCUCCCUUCCUUCUUUUCUCCUCUUUCCCUUUUCUUAUUCUUUUUAUCGUUUUCUUUUUCACUUAUCUCUGUUUCCUCCCCACUGUCCUUUCUUUUAUGUCUCUCUGUCUGUCUUUCCAGGGUCUCACACUGUAGCUCUCACCUACUUUGUACCGGUGCCAAGCUUCAUCUUAAAUCUUCCAAGUGGUGAGAUUAUGGGAAUAAACCACCAUAGCUGAUUUAAAAAGGAAUUCAUUGGAAG